rnacentral:lncRNA from 1 species
UUUGCUGCAAAUCCAGUGAAGUUCUGUUUCCCAGCUACCAACUGUUCUGGAAUGCCCCAGCCAGCAACAGAUUCUGGACCACAGUCUGUUAGUAAUUGGGCACUCAAAGAAUAGGUGAUUAAAUUCUUCAACAUUUUGAUUGCAAAACACACAAGUUUCUGGGACUUGUAUGCCAAUGUUCUGCAGUCUGUCAACUGUAGACAGUCUAUGCUGAGCAGCUAGCCAUACAGUGAACUUAUGUCGAGGUUGGAUGUGGGACUUGUAUGCCAAUGUUCUGCUGUCUGUCAACUGUAGGCAGUCUAUGCUGAUCAGCUAGCCAUACAGUGAACUUAUGUCGAGGUUGGAUAUUAGUGAUCAACAUCAAGUUCUUCCAUUCAACCCUAUUGAAACUGAGGAUCAUUGUGAGGUAUAGUUUCUGAAUAUG